UACGAAGGGGGCUAGCGUUGCUCGGAAUCACUGGGCGUAAAGCGCACGUAGGCGGAUUGUUAAGUCAGGGGUGAAAUCCUGGAGCUCAACUCCAGAACUGCCUUUGAUACUGGCGAUCUUGAGUCCGGGAGAGGUGAGUGGAACUCCGAGUGUAGAGGUGAAAUUCGUAGAUAUUCGGAAGAACACCAGUGGCGAAGGCGGCUCACUGGCCCGGUACUGACGCUGAGUGUGCGAAAGCGUGGGGAGCAAACAGG
rnacentral:rRNA from 1 species